UACGUAGAGUGCGAGCGUUAAUCGGAAUUACUGGGCGUAAAGCGUGCGCAGGCGGCUUUGCAAGACAGAUGUGAAAUCCCCGGGCUCAACCUGGGAACUGCAUUUGUGACUGCAAGGCUAGAGUACGGCAGAGGGGGAUGGAAUUCCGCGUGUAGCAGUGAAAUGCGUAGAUAUGCGGAGGAACACCAAUGGCGAAGGCAAUCCCCUGGGCCUGUACUGACGCUCAUGCACGAAAGCGUGGGGAGCAAACAGG
rnacentral:rRNA from 1 species